rnacentral:rRNA from 1 species
GACGAACCGUGCGAACGUUAUUCGGAAUCACUGGGCUUAAAGCGCGUGUAGGCGGGCCGGCACGUCGGUCGCUGAAAGCCCCCGGCUCAACCGGGGAAGCGGCGCCGAUACGACCGGCCUGGAGGGGGGUAGGGGGCGCCGGAACGGCCGGUGGAGCGGUGAAAUGCGUUGAGAUCGGCCGGAACGCCCGUGGCGAAAGCGGGCGCCUGGACCCCGCCUGACGCUGAGACGCGAAAGCCAGGGGAGCGAACAGG